CACGUAGUUAGCCGGGGCUUCUUAGUCAGGUACCGUCAUUAUCUUUCCUGCUGAUAGAGCUUUACAUACCGAGAUACUUCUUCACUCACGCGGCGUCGCUGCAUCAGGGUUUCCCCCAUUGUGCAAUAUUCCCCACUGCUGCCUCCCGUAGGAGUCUGGGCCGUGUCUCAGUCCCAGUGUGGCCGUUCACCCUCUCAGGCCGGCUACUGAUCGUCGCUUUGGUGGGCCCGUUACCCCGCCAACUGGCUAAUCAGACGCGGAUCCAUCGUAUACCACCGGAGUUUUUCACACCGCUCCAUGCGGAGCUGUGCGCUCAUGCGGUAUUAGCACCUAUUUCUAAGUGUUAUCCCCCGGUAUACGGCAGGUUAUCCACGCGUUACUCACCCGUCCGCCACUAACCUGUAUAUCACUAGGUUUCAAUACAGAUCCGUUCGACUUGCAUGUGUUAGGCACGCCGCCAGCGUUCAUCCUGAGCCAGGAUCAAACUCU
rnacentral:rRNA from 1 species